rnacentral:lncRNA from 1 species
GAACUGGAGGGUGGCCGCAGCCGUGACUUCCUUGGGAACCGCGCUGCCUCGACUCGGCUACCUCUCUGCGAAGCACUCGCUAAGCCGGGCAGCCCCGGGGUCGCUUAGCGGCCCAGGAGGCGCCAGCGAUCCUGUUCCCCUGCAGAGCUAUGGGGACCGGAAGGCGAAACAGAGCUGUCGACGCGGGAGCAUACGCUGCCCACCAGUGGAGCGCAGAUAAGCCAGCUGCAGAAUAUAUCCUGAGGUACCUGCUUUAUGGAAUUAUUCACACUAUUCACCAACAGGAAGAAUAAAGUCAAUCAAUUCAAGGAGUCUCAGAACAGGAGCACAUAGACACCAAACUUUGUGGGACAACAAAUAUAAUGAAGAGUAUGUUUGCGUCUUUCAAACAAAGCCACGUGAAGUCAAGGCCCUUAACACCCACCCCUCCCACAUACUGAGGGGAGAAUUCAGAUGCCCACUGGAGUCAGCCGAUCAGACUGCCUUUUGCACACUCCUUGCCUCCACUCCAGUUUACCGUGGAAGACCUGUCUGCUAUGGCUGAAUCUGAGAGAGAUCCUUGAGUAACGAAUUAAGGAAUGAACAAAUGUUGCUCUGGACAAAGCUGCAGCUUCCACGUCCUGCAUAACUGCACUCAGUACUGACCCUGAAGAUAGGAAAAGCAAUACAACUGGUGCUAGAAAUGUUAUGAGAAUGACUUGGAUGAGCUGAAAAAUGAAUGAUCUCCUUGAACAAGGCUUGCCUGGAAUUUCGCUUUGCUGCAGAGACAUCUGGAAAUGUGGAUUGAGGGUGGAAAUAAAAUGAAGAUGUCCUGGAAACUUCCAACUGAUCCUUGGGUCUAAUUGGUGUGGGAUAUGCAGCACAAGCGUGAGAAGCCAUGAAGUGAGAGCCCCAACAGGGGCUCAGAGUCAAAAACCUAGAUAUUAGCUCCCAAAGUCCUUCCGAAUCUGCUCCAGCUCCCCACAUCACUCCUAGCUGCCCUUGGCCCUCUCCACCUUUCCCCUCCCGAUUCCUUGGAAAAUAAGCGUUCCUCCCCCACCCCCACCCCCAGCUCUACGAACACAAUAGAGAAGAAAAAAUUGUCUUUUAAGAUAAUUUCCUCCAAAUCCUUCUCAGUUUCAACUGCAUGAAGACAAAAUGCAGGCUGUCAAUUCGAUGAACAGAUUGUGAUUAGGCUGGGGGAGGCUAGAAUUGUAAUAAUUUUAUAGCUACAAUAAUAAAGACCCAGAAGUGGGCAAGACCUAUGCAAGUUCACAGACUAGGUUAAAGAAAAGGCCAGCGUUGAAGAUGUGGGUGAUUUCCAAGAAGGAUAAUCGACUUCGAGACAAGUCAAGAACACGAUCUGGGAAUCAGCUCCCUUGACCUAGAGGCCGGUGUCCUCCCAUGGAUGGCCUUUAAAACAACUGGCUGGCAUAUAAUAAGAGGGGCACCUGUUGGAAGACUCCGGAGAAGGAAGACGCAUCUGAAAUUUGGUGCCAUGACUCGAAUCGGGGGACCUCCCUUGGAAGAUCAAUCCCCUGUCCUCCUGCUCUUUACUCCAUGAGAAAGAUCCACCUACAACCUCUGGUCCUCAGGCCAACCAGCCCAAGGAACAUCUCACCAAUUUUAUAUCCGGUACCCACUGGAAAUUGGACUCUCCAACUCACCCGGCAGCCACUCCCAGAGCCACUGGAACUCUGGCCCAACGCUCUCUGACUGACUCCUUCCCAGAUCAUCUCAGCUUAGCGGCUGAAGAUUGAUGCUGCCCAAUCACCUCAGAAGCUUCCUGGACCAUCACAUACGCUUUGGGUAACUCUUACAGUGGAGGGGUGGCCUUGGCAAAAGAGGAAGUCAAAUCUGGAACCAAGGGGUCCCAGCCCAUGUCCCCCUCUGAUUUCCUAGACAAACUUAUGGGGCGAACAUCUGGAUAUGAUGCCAGGAUUCGGCCCAAUUUUAAAGGCCCACCCGUGAACGUGACCUGCAACAUCUUCAUCAACAGUUUCAGCUCCAUCACCAAGACCACAAUGGACUACCGGGUGAAUGUCUUCUUGCGGCAACAGUGGAAUGACCCACGCCUGUCCUACCGAGAAUAUCCUGAUGACUCUCUGGACCUCGAUCCCUCCAUGCUGGACUCUAUCUGGAAGCCAGACCUCUUCUUUGCUAAUGAGAAAGGGGCCAACUUCCAUGAGGUGACCACGGACAACAAGUUACUGCGCAUCUUCAAGAAUGGGAAUGUGCUGUACAGCAUCAGGCUGACCCUCAUUUUGUCCUGCCUGAUGGACCUCAAGAACUUCCCCAUGGACAUCCAGACCUGCACGAUGCAGCUUGAGAGCUUUGGCUACACCAUGAAAGACCUCGUGUUUGAGUGGCUGGAAGAUGCUCCUGCUGUCCAAGUGGCUGAGGGGCUGACUCUGCCCCAGUUUAUCUUGCGGGAUGAGAAGGAUCUAGGCUGUUGUACCAAGCACUACAACACAGGGAAAUUCACCUGCAUCGAGGUAAAGUUUCACCUGGAACGGCAGAUGGGCUACUAUCUGAUUCAGAUGUACAUCCCCAGCCUACUCAUCGUCAUCCUGUCCUGGGUCUCCUUCUGGAUCAACAUGGAUGCUGCCCCUGCCCGUGUGGGCCUGGGCAUCACCACCGUGCUCACCAUGACCACCCAGAGCUCUGGCUCCCGGGCCUCUUUGCCUAAGGUGUCCUACGUGAAGGCAAUCGACAUCUGGAUGGCUGUGUGUCUGCUCUUUGUGUUCGCUGCCUUGCUGGAGUAUGCUGCCAUAAAUUUUGUUUCUCGUCAGCAUAAAGAAUUCAUACGACUUCGAAGAAGGCAGAGGCGCCAACGCUUGGAGGAAGAUAUCAUCCAAGAAAGUCGUUUCUAUUUCCGUGGCUAUGGCUUGGGCCACUGCCUGCAGGCAAGAGAUGGAGGUCCAAUGGAAGGUUCUGGCAUUUAUAGUCCCCAACCUCCAGCCCCUCUUCUAAGGGAAGGAGAAACCACGCGGAAACUCUACGUGGACUGAGCCAAGAGAAUUGACACCAUCUCCCGGGCUGUCUUCCCUUUCACUUUCCUCAUCUUCAAUAUCUUCUACUGGGUUGUCUAUAAAGUGCUAUGGUCAGAAGAUAUCCACCAGGCUCUGUGAAUAGGGUGGGAGCUAUAGAGUCCUGCUGCUGGCCUCCUGCUUCCUCCUGGGUGGGCUUUCUCCCUCAGUUAGACUCCAUUAGGGGUUUGGACAGUUCCUUCCUGAUCUCCCACUCAGAACUUCAACUACCAGUCCCAAAGCUAUGUGGGCCUAUAUUGCAUGGUGCCAAUGGUGG